rnacentral:rRNA from 1 species
UUCCGGUUGAUCCCGCCGGACCUGACUGCUAUCGGAUUGAUACUAAGCCAUGCGAGUCAUUGUAGUAAUACAAGGCAGACGGCUCAGUAACGCGUAGUCAACCUACCCUAUGGACGGGGAUAACCUCGGGAAACUGAGAAUAAUACCCGAUAGAACAUUAUGCCUGGAAUGGUUUAUGUUUCAAAUAAUUUAUUGCCGUAGGAUGGGACUGCGGCCUAUCAGUUUGUUGGUGAGGUAAUGGCCCACCAAGACUAUUACAGGUACGGGCUCUGAGAGGAGUAGCCCGGAGAUGGGUACUGAGACACGGACCCAGGCCCUAUGGGGCGCAGCAGGCGAGAAAACUUUGCAAUGUGCGAAAGCACGACAAGGUUAAUCCGAGUGGUUUCUGCUAAAGGAACCUUUUGUCAGUCCUAGAAACACUGAUGAAUAAGGGGUGGGCAAGUUCUGGUGUCAGCCGCCGCGGUAAAACCAGCACCUCAAGUGGUCAGGAUGAUUAUUGGGCCUAAAGCAUCCGUAGCCUGCUUUGUAAGUUUUCGGUUAAAUCCAUAUGCUCAACAUAUGGGCUGCCGGGAAUACUGCAAAGCUAGGGAGUGGGAGAGGUAGACGGUACUCGGUAGGAAGGGGUAAAAUCCUUUGAUCUAUUGAUGACCACCUGUGGCGAAGGCGGUCUACCAGAACACGUCCGACGGUGAGGGAUGAAAGCUGGGGGAGCAAACCGGAUUGGAUACCCGGGUAGUCCCAGCUGCAAACUAUGCAAACUCAGUGAUGCAUUGGCUUGAUGCCAAUGCAGUGCUGCAGGGAAGCCGUUAAGUUUGCCGCCUGGGAAGUACGUACGCAAGUAUGAAACUUAAAGGAAUUGGCGGGGC